GAUGAGGUGGCCGAGUGGUUAAGGCGAUGGACUGCUAAUACAUUGUCCUCUGCAUACAUGGGUUCGAAUCCCAUCCUCAUCG
rfam:Salmo salar isolate Sally breed double haploid chromosome ssa04, whole genome shotgun sequence.